rnacentral:rRNA from 1 species
AGCGAACGCUGGCGGCAGGCCUAACACAUGCAAGUCGAACGAAGUCUUCGGACUUAGUGGCGGACGGGUGAGUAACACGUGGGAACGUGCCUUUAGGUUCGGAAUAACUCAGGGAAACUUGUGCUAAUACCGAAUGUGCCCUUCGGGGGAAAGAUUUAUCGCCUUUAGAGCGGCCCGCGUCUGAUUAGCUAGUUGGUGAGGUAAAGGCUCACCAAGGCUACGAUCAGUAGCUGGUCUGAGAGGAUGACCAGCCACAUUGGGACUGAGACACGGCCCAAACUCCUACGGGAGGCAGCAGUGGGGAAUCUUGCGCAAUGGGCGAAAGCCUGACGCGGCCAUGCCGCGUGGAUGAUGAAGGUCUUAGGAUUGUAAAAUCCUUUCACCGGUGAAGAUAAUGACUGUAGCCGGAGAAGAAGCCCCGGCUAAUUUCGUGCCAGCCGCCGCCGUAAAAC